UCCUACGGGAGGCAGCAGUGGGGAAUAUUGCACAAUGGAGGGAACUCUGAUGCAGCGACGCCGCGUGAGCGAUGAAGGCCUUCGGGUCGUAAAGCUCUGUCCUAUGGGACGAUAAUGACGGUACCAUAGGAGGAAGCCCCGGCUAACUACGUGCCAGCAGCCGCGGUAAUACGUAGGGGGCGAGCGUUGUCCGGAAUUACUGGGCGUAAAGGGUACGCAGGCGGCCAUGUAAGUCAGAUGUGAAAGACUAGGGCUUAACCUUAGCAAGCAUUUGAAACUGUGUGGCUUGAGUUAAGGAGAGGAAAGUGGAAUUCCUGGUGUAGCGGUGAAAUGCGUAGAUAUCAGGAGGAAUACCAGUGGCGAAGGCGACUUUCUGGACUUAAACUGACGCUGAGGUACGAAAGCGUGGGGAGCAAACAGGAUUAGAUACCCUGGUAGUCCACGCCGUAAACGAUGAGUGCUAGGUGUCGGAGGGAGACUUUCGGUGCCGCAGUUAACACAUUAAGCACUCCGCCUGGGGAGUACGUUCGCAAGAAUGAAACUCAAAGGAAUUGACGG
rnacentral:rRNA from 1 species